UUCAUCUCUUUUUGUCCCUCAGCUUGGGAGGACGACUCCCUCAGGGUUAGUCUUGCCUUUGGUCGGGUCGAAUGAUGGCAGCAGCGUCAGAGGCAAGAAGUGAAAGCGCGGAAGGAAACAAAGCAGGGGGCUUGGUGCCUAAUUUGAAGUCAAGAUGAUGCAGCAGGUAGAGAAGCAGAACCCAAGUCUCCUGAAUACCAGCUCAGCGCUCUCCUGCCCUGCAAUGCUUUCGACCUGGAAAAGAUUCAGCGAGCCCUUAAUUCUGCAUUGUUUACAAAACACAUCAUUUGCACUGAAUCUGCCCUGCAAUCAUUCCCUACCGGGCAUCUGGAAUGAGAGCAGCAGACUUCAUUGUACAGGAUUUUAACAUGCCACCAAUUAUGUGCUGUCUUUGGGUUAUGCUAAUAAUAUAAAAUGCACCAUGCUGCUCAUUUUCUCUAAUCUGUUCAUAUCUAAUGGUAGCUCCCGGCUCU